AUCGAACGCUAGCGGGAUGCUUUACACAUGCAAGUCGAACGAGUGGCGGACGGGUGAGUAUUAUAUCGGAACGUGCCCAGUAGCGGGGGAUAACUAAUCGAAAGAGUGGCUAAUACCGCACACUAUUGGAGCGGCCGAUAGAGGAUUAGCUAGUUGGUGGGGUAAAGGCUCACCAAGGCCACGAUCCGUAGCUGGUUGGAGAGGCCGACCAGCCCCACUGGGACUGAGACACGGCCCAGACUCCUACGAGAGGCAGCAGUGGGGAAUUUUGGACAAUGGGGGAAACCCUGAUCCAGCCAUCCCGCGUGUAUGAGAAGGCCUUCGAGUCUUAAAGUACUUUUGGCAGAGAAGCGGUAUCUGCAGAAUAAGCACCGGCUAACUACGUGCCAGCCGCCGCGGUAAUAC
rnacentral:rRNA from 1 species